GCGGUUGGCUGACAGCAGCAGUGGGGGGCGUGCCCAGGCGCGUGCAGAGCAAACGUGGCUGCAGUAGACUGCCGGGUCCUUGCAAGUGCUCUAGGCCCCGUGGCCCCCCAUCAACACCCCCCGUGCCCCGCCGGCCAUGGACUUGGGCGACGUCCUGCAGCAGAUCACGGGCAUCACCUACCAAAGCCUGGAGGAGACGCAGGCCAGAGAGAGAGGAAGGGGGAGAAAGGGAAAGAAAUAUCAACGCAAGAGAGAAACAUCGAUUGUUCACCUUCCACACGCGCCCCAACUGGGGACCCAACCCACAACCAAGUCCUGUGCCCUGACCAAGAACCGAUCUGCUUGGCCGAUGCCCAGCCAACUGAGCCACACCAGCUGAGGUCCAACUCUUUUUUAAUAUUAAUUUUACAGCAAAAUAAUGAAUUGUCUCUUCCAGGACUUGUUACAAAUUCUCCCAUUAAAAUUUUUGACCUUA